GAUCCGGCGAUGAUGAGUAGUAGUACUACUAUUGCUACUACGUGCAAACAUUGGCCAUGGCACCGACGAAACGCAUUAACCUCCACCGACACACGACAGUGGCGUGUCAACCACAUCCCGUCUCGCUGAGCCGGAGU
rnacentral:snoRNA from 1 species